UUAAGUUUUUUAUUUAAGCCUAUUUUUAACUGUGGUAAGUUAAUAAAUCUUCACCACAGAAAAAUGUUACGAACAAAUAACCAACCAUGACGUAUAGUGGGGUCCAGAAUAUGCUCAUUCACAGCCAUAUUUAUAUUUUUGCCAUCAUAACGUAGGUUUUUGCAAGACAAUUUUUUUGAAUUAUUAUUUGAAAAUACGAAACACCUAAACAUGGCUUCGUUAAUAUUGCUGCGUAAUGGGUCAGGUGCUGUUCCAAUUUUAUGAUUUAAGAGAUGAAAAGGCGAUACGCGAUGCUGUGAAGUACUCAAACGUAGUCAAAUGUAGACCAACUAAGUUGGGUCGUGAAUUCGACACAAAAUUUUAAAUUCAAUGGCAUGCUUGUGGAAGGUGCACGUCGCAUUGCUAGAAUCAGCAAAGAAGCUUUUAUACAACGUUUGAUUAUUCGUCUGCCCUUAACUCUAGUCCGAAACCAAUGAGAUUUGUGAUUGUCUAAGCAACUUUAAUACUACGGUGAAUGUGCUGUUCUGAUUUUGCACAAGCUUUGUCAAUUUCGCUAAGGAUCCCUUGGUCGGGUUUAUCAAGCUGUUGGACCAAAGCGUUACCAGUUGAGCGAAUCGUGUUACGCGUAAAGAUGAAAAUGCUUGAGAUACCGUCGUUAAGACAUGAGUUGCGAUCCUACCUUCCUAUUGAAAGCCAAAUUCACUGAGCCUAUCUAUCCUGGACAACCUAUUGGUGAGCUACAUCUGGAACGCAUCGAUCGCGAACGUAUUACCGAUGUCGUUGGGUGUACAAUUGACCUCCAUGGAAAAGCAAGUACCAUGGGAAUUGCGGCCAUAUCGUGCUGCGCAUAUUAUGAUGCCGAUUUGGGAGAGUGGGAGGAACCAGCUCUACCAAAACCGAUAAAACAUCGGGAAGAACUACGUAUGUUUGCAUAAAACUACUAUAAUGACAACAACGUUAACAACAACAGCCAAGCAAGUAAUAAACAACACUUAUCAAAUGAAAGUUGGUGGCGUUGGUGGUCAAGCAGCGAUUUCCUUUAAUUUCCUUUAUUUCUUUAAGAAUCCUUUUUAUUUAAAACUCAGCUUAGAACUAAAAAAUAAUAUGGUAAAUCUGUUAGCAUAGUCAAACACACAUUUGUGAAUGAGAAGGAUUCCUCGGCGUAUAGCUAAACUCUGACACAUAAAAAGUUUAUGUAGUUUGUGAUUCUUCUUCUUGAUUGGCGUAGUCACCGCUUACGCGAUUAUAGCCAAGUUAACAACCGCGCACCAGUCGGUUCGCUACGCGGCGACACUUUGAUAUUCCAAGUGAAGCCAGGUCC